AUUCCAUUAACGUUGAAUGUUACAAGAGUCGAGCUAUUCAUAACGCUGUACAUACGUCAGUCUCAGUUUAAUACGUACGUCGUUUAUGUUAAAUUUGGAUAGCCGUCAAACAGUGAAACGCAUGCGCGAAUGUGUACGAACUCUCCCAUCCCACAUUCUCAGUUAAUAAUACCGUGUCGACCUUUCGGCGACGUUUACGUUCGAGAAAGCGUGAAUCGAAUUAACGAAGUAGGUAGAUAGAUAAGACUUCCCUUUGGCCGGGACGACGAGAAGGCAGCGAGAAGACGUCGAAAAGAUGCGAGAACGACGGAGACCUUUGAAAGGGUGAGAGAUGAGAAUGAAAGAGAAGGAAAGAGAAGGAAGGAAGGAAGGAAGGAAGGAAGGAAGGAAGGAACGAAGACGGGAAGGCUUUCGAAGCUCACUUGGGGAUCUCUCAUAAACGUAUUCAUUAGAGGAGAAGCAUAGCUCGUAGGCAAACGAGUUGGACGAGGAGGAUGACGACGUUAAGCCGCGCGAUUGUUACUCGAGCCGAAAAUGUAGGAUAAGGAGAAGGAAGAGAAGAGGAUAGAAGGGUCGAGGGAAAACUCGAGGCAAGUUCUCCGCCGCUACGAGAGGGGUUAUUGAUCUUAAUUAACCGACUCGUGCUCUGAGCGUAUUAGCAGAGAGUAUACGAGUCGUGUAAUUCGGUAUAAUAUUCCACGAGCCUGAUCUAUGGAUACUAAGCUAUGAGAUACGAAGGAGAGAAUUUCAAAAGCAUCGUAAUCAUUUCUUUUUUUAAAAGAACAUCAUUAACGUUAUUAUUAAUCAAUUAAAUCGAUUGCCAAUCGUAUAAGUUUCUAUUUUCAAACUGUACAAAAUUGAUUCAAUAUUUUAUUCGAUUUCAUUCGAAUGAAGAUAUAUUUGACGAUUACAUGAAAGAUCGUAGAAAAUUGUGUGUUGAUUUUUAAACUGUUUAAUAUCUACGUUUAAACGACAUUGAUGAAUUUACAAGAAGCUUUAUUUCACAUAGACGCUGUUAUUAACGCAAUUCAGAAACGUGACGAAUUACCUCGAGAGAAGGGAAACGUAUCGUACCUUUCUUCGCUUUAAUUAAUCAUCGCACAUUCUAGUGCACGCGUCUUAUUAAGACGUUUAUCUUGACCCUGAUCGAAGAGUUUAAAACUUAUGCAAAUUGCUUUUAAAAUUAGAACCAUAAUGAAUUCAUCGACUUUUGACAAAUCGUUCGUAAUUAUUCGGAGUGAAGUGUAUUACCUUCAAAAAUCAUAGAAGUACUACAUUCCUCGCCAUUUCUCUCUCUCUCUCUCUCUCUCUUUUUUUCUCUCUUUCAUUCCUAUAAUCGUGCUGGUAUCGUCAAUCGAAAUUCGAUCUAGGCAACCCCUCAAAUGUGUAUAGUAUAACAGUUUACGUUUCGCUAUCAAUUCAACACGAUCGAAUUUGAAUUGGAUCAAUGAAUUUCAAAACUUCGUCGUCUCACUGUCGUCGCAUUAAUUGGAUUACGAAGAUAUAACGUCUUCUUCUAUCUUCUUCAUUUUUCUUUCUCUCUCUCUCUCUCUCUCUCUUUCUCUCUACUUUAUUAUGUCAUAUUAUUAUUAA